rnacentral:rRNA from 1 species
UACUGCAUUUUUUCUUACACAUGUGUUUUUCUUUUUGAAAACUUUGCUUUGGUAGGCCUUCUAUAUGGGGCCUGCCAGAGAUUAAACUCAACCAAAUUUUAUUUAAUGUCAACCGAUUAUUUAAUAGUCAAAACUUUCAACAACGGAUCUCUUGGUUCUCGCAUCGAUGAAGAACGCAGCGAAAUGCGAUAAGUAAUAUGAAUUGCAGAUAUUCGUGAAUCAUCGAAUCUUUGAACGCACAUUGCGCCCUUUGGUAUUCCAAAGGGCAUGCCUGUUUGAGCGUCAUUUCUCCCUCAAACCCUCGGGUUUGGUGUUGAGCGAUACGCUGGGUUUGCUUGAAAGAAAGGCGGAGUAUAAACUAAUGGAUAGGUUUUUUCCACUCAUUGGUACAAACUCCAAAACUUCUUCCAAAUUCGACCUCAAAUCAGGUAGGACUACCCGCUGAACUUAAGCAUAUCAAUAAGCGGAGG